CCCGCAAGAUACAUCACUGCCACCGCUAUGAUCUCUGGUUCCCACUGCAGUGACAAGGUCGUGCAGAGACUAGUUCAACAAGAAAAAGAGAAAUGGGGAAGAAAAGACAAAUUAGUAGUAAUAGAAGAGGGGAAAAAAAGAAUGCACAAGCAGCAACAAGCACUUAUGUAAAGCCUACUGUGUGUUCAGCACCAGCCCCAGUACACCGCGAAGGGCUUCCGCCUGGGAAACAAGGACAAGCGAGCGGGGCCAAGUCCUGCGCCUGUGUCUUUCCGCACGACCCACGCUGAGCCACCGUUCAUGGGAAACCUGGCUCUGAGGCUGCUUUUAUUUGGCUAUUUAAAAAUCCUGACUCAUCUUCCUACCUCGUAUCACUUGGCAACCGGAUGACAGACUCUGUUUAUACUAAAAGGAAACAGCAUUAACAGCUGUCAUACUGAAUCGUCUCGGCAAGCCGUGUCCUGGGCACUUCACACACUGACUCUCCACUUUCCCCUUUGAGAAGCGUAAUCUGAGUGUCACCAAAUUAUUAUAAAGACUUGAUUUCAGAAA